GAACCUGAAACCGUGUACGUACAAGCAGUGGGAGCACGCUUCGGCGUGUGACUGCGUACCUUUUGUAUAAUGGGUCAGCGACUUAUAUUCUGUAGCAAGGUUAACCGAAUAGGGGAGCCGAAGGGAAACCGAGUCUUAACUGGGCGUUAAGUUGCAGGGUAUAGACCCGAAACCCGGUGAUCUAGCCAUGGGCAGGUUGAAGGUUGGGUAACACUAACUGGAGGACCGAACCGACUAAUGUUGAAAAAUUAGCGGAUGACUUGUGGCUGGGGGUGAAAGGCCAAUCAAACCGGGAGAUAGCUGGUUCUCCCCGAAAGCUAUUUAGGUAGCGCCUCGUGAAUUCAUCUCCGGGGGUAGAGCACUGUUUCGGCAAGGGGGUCAUCCCGACUUACCAACCCGAUGCAAACUGCGAAUACCGGAGAAUGUUAUCACGGGAGACACACGGCGGGUGCUAACGUCCGUCGUGAAGAGGGAAACAACCCAGACCGCCAGCUAAGGUCCCAAAGUCAUGGUUAAGUGGGAAACGAUGUGGGAAGGCCCAGACAGCCAGGAUGUUGGCUUAGAAGCAGCCAUCAUUUAAAGAAAGCGUAAUAGCUCACUGGUCGAGUCGGCCUGCGCGGAAGAUGUAACGGGGCUAAACCAUGCACCGAAGCUGCGGCAGCGACACUAUGUGUUGUUGGGUAGGGGAGCGUUCUGUAAGCCUGUGAAGGUGUACUGUGAGGUAUGCUGGAGGUAUCAGAAGUGCGAAUGCUGACAUAAGUAACGAUAAAGCGGGUGAAAAGCCCGCUCGCCGGAAGACCAAGGGUUCCUGUCCAACGUUAAUCGGGGCAGGGUGAGUCGACCCCUAAGGCGAGGCCGAAAGGCGUAGUCGAUGGGAAACAGGUUAAUAUUCCUGUACUUGGUGUUACUGCGAAGGGGGGACGGAGAAGGCUAUGUUGGCCGGGCGACGGUUGUCCCGGUUUAAGCGUGUAGGCUGGUUUUCCAGGCAAAUCCGGAAAAUCAAGGCUGAGGCGUGAUGACGAGGCACUACGGUGCUGAAGCAACAAAUGCCCUGCUUCCAGGAAAAGCCUCUAAGCAUCAGGUAACAUCAAAUCGUACCCCAAACCGACACAGGUGGUCAGGUAGAGAAUACCAAGGCGCUUGAGAGAACUCGGGUGAAGGAACUAGGCAAAAUGGUGCCGUAACUUCGGGAGAAGGCACGCUGAUAUGUAGGUGAAGCGACUUGCUCGUGGAGCUGAAAUCAGUCGAAGAUACCAGCUGGCUGCAACUGUUUAUUAAAAACACAGCACUGUGCAAACACGAAAGUGGACGUAUACGGUGUGACGCCUGCCCGGUGCCGGAAGGUUAAUUGAUGGGGUUAGCGGUAACGCGAAGCUCUUGAUCGAAGCCCCGGUAAACGGCGGCCGUAACUAUAACGGUCCUAAGGUAGCGAAAUUCCUUGUCGGGUAAGUUCCGACCUGCACGAAUGGCGUAAUGAUGGCCAGGCUGUCUCCACCCGAGACUCAGUGAAAUUGAACUCGCUGUGAAGAUGCAGUGUACCCGCGGCAAGACGGAAAGACCCCGUGAACCUUUACUAUAGCUUGACACUGAACAUUGAGCCUUGAUGUGUAGGAUAGGUGGGAGGCUUUGAAGUGUGGACGCCAGUCUGCAUGGAGCCGACCUUGAAAUACCACCCUUUAAUGUUUGAUGUUCUAACGUUGGCCCGUUAUCCGGGUUGCGGACAGUGUCUGGUGGGUAGUUUGACUGGGGCGGUCUCCUCCUAAAGAGUAACGGAGGAGCACGAAGGUUGGCUAAUCCUGGUCGGACAUCAGGAGGUUAGUGCAAUGGCAUAAGCCAGCUUGACUGCGAGCGUGACGGCGCGAGCAGGUGCGAAAGCAGGUCAUAGUGAUCCGGUGGUUCUGAAUGGAAGGGCCAUCGCUCAACGGAUAAAAGGUACUCCGGGGAUAACAGGCUGAUACCGCCCAAGAGUUCAUAUCGACGGCGGUGUUUGGCACCUCGAUGUCGGCUCAUCACAUCCUGGGGCUGAAGUAGGUCCCAAGGGUAUGGCUGUUCGCCAUUUAAAGUGGUACGCGAGCUGGGUUUAGAACGUCGUGAGACAGUUCGGUCCCUAUCUGCCGUGGGCGCUGGAGAACUGAGGGGGGCUGCUCCUAGUACGAGAGGACCGGAGUGGACGCAUCACUGGUGUUCGGGUUGUCAUGCCAAUGGCACUGCCCGGUAGCUAAAUGCGGAAGAGAUAAGUGCUGAAAGCAUCUAAGCACGAAACUUGCCCCGAGAUGAGUUCUCCCUGACUCCUUGAGAGUCCUGAAGGAACGUUGAAGACGACGACGUUGAUAGGCCGGGUGUGUAAGCGCAGCGAUGCGU
rnacentral:rRNA from 1 species